rnacentral:rRNA from 1 species
CCUACGGGUGGCAGCAGGGAGGAAUAUUGGUCAAUGGGAGAGAUCCUGAACCAGCCAAGCCGCGUGAGGGAAGACGGCCCUAUGGGUUGUAAACCUCUUUUGUCGGAGAACAAAACCCGGGACGUGUCCCGGACUGCGUGUAUCCGAAGAAAAAGCAUCGGCUAACUCCGUGCCAGCAGCCGCGGUAAUACGGAGGAGGCGAGUGUUAUCCGGAUUUCUUGGGUUUAAAGGGUGCGUAGGCGGUCCGGUAAGUCAGCGGUAAAAGUGCGGGGCUCAACCCCGUCGAGCCGUUGAAACUGGCAGUCUUGAGUUGGCGCGACGUACUCGGACUGCGCGUUGUCGCGGUGACAUGCCUCGCUCUCGCGCAGCCCUCCGAUUGCGCCGGCAGCGUACCGGCGCCAGCCUGCCGCUGAGGCACGCACGCGUGGGGCUCGAACAGGAUUAGCUACCCGUGUAGUC